AGGUCAGCCUGGAUCACCAACCUAUUCUCAGGUGUGGAUGCUUUACCCCAAAAGGUACAAUUUAAGUAACCGACACCUUUUAGAAUUAAUUUUUAGAAAAAUUAAAGCAAACAAGUAUUGUCCAACAGACUUGGCCGUUGUAAGGGCCUUUGAUUGCCUUUUUUUUUUUUUUUUUUAAAUAGCCUGGGCCAAACUAUUUGCAGUACUUCAUGUUCAGGUUGCCUUGGUAAUCAGCAGGAUCUCUCUAACUAAUCAUUAAGUUAUAUCUACAACAAGUUACUUGUUUUGUAUUUCAACAAUACUGGCUUCUUUAGUAGUAUGUGUUGAGAAGUUUCGUAGGUAAAUCAGCCAAAAUGUUACAGCCUAAAGGGCCCUAAGACCUGAUUAACUGUAUGUUGGCAGCUUUCAGUUUUUGCACAAGUAGUGACUGUACUAACUGUUAUCUUCAAGGAAGAGGUCUAGAAUGGUAUUGAGAUUUUGCAUUACAUUAAUCAUAAGGCCCUUGGGAGAUGUGCCAAACGAAUGAGGCCAAUGUCUUUGGAUUGCUCUAAGAAGUAGUGAACAAGCACGAACCCAUCCAGGAACAUCAUGCGUUUUAAAAGAUACAUUUCUGCAGACAGUUAGAGGUGCCAGUAGAAUAGAGUUAAGCAAAGUUUGAGUUAAGCAAAAUUGUCCAAAGAAUCAUGCUGUCAAGGGGUUCAAAGUGAUUUGUGGAAAAAGGCUGCUGCCUGUAGGCGAGACAGCAGGCAUUUAAUACGUGGCUUAAGUCUUACACAAGCUAGUAUAGCACAAGGUGUUUUUCAUAAAGAUAUAAUUAUCAUAACAUCUUGAGCAAUUCUGUCUACCUAUCUCCAGGAAAUAGUCACUACAAAUGCGUGGCAGGGGGCUUUCCCUGAUAACAAUUUUUACUGAAAGAGAAAAACGAUGUACAUGUGUCUUGUUUGUCAAGUGCUGACCGUGUUAUUUUAAGGUAACUGCUCCUCAGAAAAGGCAUACCUGAGUUCAAAAUCUUUAUGAAUGAUUAAAGUGUGAAACCAAAGCACAGGAAUACAUUAUACCACAAGCUUACUGUUAGUUCACAAUCAGUAAAAUAGCAAGGCGUUGAGAAUGAAGAAUCUCAUUCUCAAUCUUAGGAAAACUGCUUUUGCUUAGGAAAACGCUGACUGCAAGAAACCCAAGAAAUUCAAAGCAUUCAGCCUAAAAUUCACAGAGAUUUUUGUGAUCCAGAAAACUGACAGCUUCUCAGAUAAAAAGAGAAAAUAUGAGAUGACUAGUACAGGAAGAAGUACUUACUAAAUCACAACAUAGUAAGUUAUACAGAACGGUUGCCUGCCAGACAGAUUCUUGGAUCUCUAUUACUCGCUGACAAAAAAAGGAUAUAGUUGAGAAACAAGUUUAAAAAAUUCAGGCAUUUUUUUUUUUAAACUGUAGUUUGGCAGAUAGGCUGCUCAAAAACCGACUGAAAGAAAACAGCUCUCUCCUCAAAGUCAGCGGGUACACAGCCAGUCGAGAUAUCCCAGCAUACAUCAGGAAGUGAAUGCUAAUAAUCAACUUUUGUGGGUGAUCUCCUGUCCUUGUGCUCUUAUCUGCCAAGAGCCUUGUACUGUUAUCUGCCACAUCCAGAGUAUCUACAUAGCAUAUAAUCUUUGCGCUUUUGAAACUUGCAUCUAUUCUUGCAUCUCUUCCUGCAUCUCUUCCUGCACUUGCUUUCUGAAUUCCUGACCUCCACAUCAUUCCUGCAAUACAUUUAUCAGUUUGUCAUCUUUGUGACAAUUAUGAAAGUGCUCCAGUUAGUUUUCUGCACUCAUUAAUUGUGCCCCUUAUCAGAGCACACGUCAUAAAAGAAGAACAUAUGCUAAAAUCAGACAUUCGGGUCCAGUACUGAAAAAUACUAUUUAAUCCCAAUUAUAAUGAUACCAACAGGAAGUCAUAUUUUACCCUUCCUGGAUACAAAGAGGGAUUCCAAUCUGACCCCACAUUUUCAAUUAGCUCUCAGAGCAAGGUCAAAAUAGAAAUGUUUCCAGAUCAAGAAUUCCUUGCCCAGAGACAGCAUUUAAUGCUCUCAUUUUUGCUGUCAUUUAUUUCCAUGAAAAGUGAAGUUGAGGCAACAGGGAAUGCUUGCCUUCAUAUAUUUUUAAACUUCUCUUUUGUGAAAGUGCACUCAUUCCUUGUGGUAUUCUGCCCUAUAUCUGGGCCAAGGCACCUUGAAAUGCAGCUGGUCAAACUUAUUUUAUUCCUUGCAUGUUUAUUGAUGAGAUCUGUCCAUUAAGCUCUAGCAAUUACCUGAUCCAAGAACGGGACAUUAUUGUUCAUCACAUUAAGCAGCAAGGUCUUUACAAAGUUGUUUCUCCAGAAGAGAAGCGACAAUGCAGAGAUAGAAACAAUUGUUUUUAUAGCUGUACUAAAAAAACCUGAAGUAGAACUGAAGGUGAGUAAACAAAAGUAGUAUUCAACUAAACAAAAUCAAUUUAGUAAUUUCCAUACAUAAAACAAUGCUAAGUCUUGAGAUUCAGUUCAUCAUAAUACCACAAACAAAGGCAGAGAUGCACAUUACCCAGAGUCACCAAGGAAGAUCAUGUCAGAGCGGGCAAACAGAAACCCAAGAGCUCCCAGCUUCCAAUCUUGUGCUCAAGCCACCAGACCAUUCUUCUCCAUCCACAGGGCUAAGUAUUUCUUGUGAGACGCAGAUGUACCAAGUUUGUGCAUUAUUUGCUUUCUUUAAAAGGUUCAAGUCCAUGAAAUACAUUAAAUGCUUUUCAUUCGAUCUGGUGUUCCAACUUUGUGGAGUAUUUGGGCUCCUUUUGUACUAGCUGCGUAGAAGACAUAUUAGUGCCUUUCCCUGAACGAAAGAACUGUGUGGACUUUGCAAACCACGGGAAAAAAAAAGACACGGGGCCAGUCAUCCUUGAAAGCAUAGCUUUAAUCCUUCCAAUACAUUUAAGCAUAAAUCAAUUUCUUGUUUGUCUUGGGUUAAAACCUGUAGUUCUUAAUUUCAUCCACGAUCAAAACACUCCCAUAAGGUUCAGAAAUUCAGAGCAACUGAAGGCUGCUUCACAAAAAAAAGAAAACAAGGAGGCUCCCAAACCAAGAUGCUUUGAAGUCUUCUUGCUUGAAUUAUUUUGGCCAGUAUUAAGUCAAUUUUAGAAUCACUAAAAAGCUAACCACCACCACCAGUACCAACACAGGAAAUGAAAGGAUAACACCAUUUCUUUUUCAAAUGUCACAUUUAAUGUUUUCACCACUGUACUUCAAAUCUACAUUUUACAAAGUGACCAGCAAGUGUGCCACAUUAACUGACCAACCUCUGAGAUUUUACCUUUCAUACCAGUGUCUUCUUGGGCUCUUAAUUAAACACGUUUCUCAUUCAAGUGAAGUGAAAUGCUUCAGUUGUUUUUAUUCACAGGAGCCUCAUAAAAAACAAAGAUAUUGCACCAUCUUUGUUUAGUAAUUCAACGUUUGUCUCUUUCACAGCAAAUAAUUACUUCAUUGAAGUUAAAACUUCCAAACAUAACUUACUAAUAGUCUCCAAUUUCAGCUCAGAUCACUCUUGUUGAAAAUACUCUGCUAAAUACAGAUAACUUACAAUAACUUUAACAGUUAAUUGUCCAUAACAAACACCAAGGUUUCUCCCCAGACCUAUGCUCAAAAUUUAAGACCACCCUUUAGUAUUUCUUUGUACAGGUGAAAAACAGUCUUCAAUUUUCUUGUCUUGUUUUAAAUAUAAAAGUUGGAAGGGACAUUCAAGUUUCAAGUCUCCACACUGAACUUAAAAAAAAAAAUAAUCAUGUGGAGGUAAACAAACCAAGUUGUAUACUCCAGGAGGUAGAGGCCUUCAAUUUGUGUUCAUAUAUACAUAUGCACAGAAUUCAGUGUUCCAACAGAAAAAGAAUUAGCCAAAAAGUAAUAAAAGUUAUUUACUACUGUGACAUUUCAAGACUUCCACAGCUUUGCCUAAAGACACAAACACAAUUAACAUAAUUCCCUAUGUGCUUUUUUUUUUUCCUUUUUCUUUUUUUUUUUUUUUCUUCUCUCAACUGUCCAGUGCAGGAAAAAUUUCUCACAAAAUUUCACAGACCUAAAAUGUGCAAGCUAGUUUCUCUCUAUACAGCAAUGAUGUCAUGGUUCUUUGAAAUUAGCCCAUAAAUGGAAUUAUUUACACACAUAGAAGAUGCAUGCUUGGGGGGGGUUAUGUAAGAAAGAGCAGAAAAACUUCUAAUAAAAAUAGAUUAAAUAUAUAUAUAUUUAUACUGGGUAAGGAAACAGAAGUUUAGUCUCUCCUAGUCACAAACUCAUUCUCUCUACUCACAACAUUUGAUUUUAGAACAGCACACAUCACCAUCACAGCUCUAGUGAGAAGCUAUUUAUAGGAUUUGAUCAUCAGAUGACGUGCCCAUUCAUAGUCUGGUCACUGUCGUCUGAUGAGACUUCAUGAUUGGUCGCAGUCAAGUUCUCUGUAUUCCUUAAAUUUUAGAAAAUCCCAAAUCUUGAGGAAUGGCUCAAUAUCAAAAUGUACGUCUGUCUGUCUUUUUGUACAGUCUUACCUCAAUUUAAAAAA